UACGUAGGGUCCGAGCGUUGUCCGGAAUUACUGGGUAUAAAGGGUGCGCAGGCGGGCUUUUGCGUCGAGGGUUAAAGGCCAAAGCUUAACUUUGGAAAUGCCUUCGAAACGGAAAGUCUUGAAUAUGAGAGAGGUAGGUAGAAUUCCUGGUGUAGCGGUGAAAUGCGUAGAUAUCAGGAGGAAUACCAGUGGCGAAGGCGGCCUACUGGCUCAUUAUUGACGCUCAGGCACGAAAGCGUGGGGAGCAAACAGG
rnacentral:rRNA from 1 species